CAAUCAGUAAAAUUAUAAUCCCACGAGGUAUUUCGGUACCGCCAUUGUUGUUAUUUUUUUUGUGUACUGAUGUAUGAAAGUUACAAUUAAUACUGUUAUUAUCAUUUUUUUUUGUAAUUUCGACGUUUACUCCCGGGAUAAUCGACGAGGUCGAUUAUCCAUUGAUCGAGCUUCGGAUUCGUGCUGAAUAAUUAAUUUAACUAUUAUUUAACUGCGGUGAAUGAAUUUUUGUUUAUUAUUAUUAGUACCAAAAAUUCGGCGAAAUUUUAGAAAGUAAAAUUUAAAAUUAAUUAUGAUGAAUUAGUUAUUUGACUGCUAUAAAUUUGAAUCGAGUGAAUUUUAUAAAUCUUUUUGUGUUAAUUUACUGAACGUAACUGAAUUGAGCGACAAUUUAUGAACAA